rnacentral:rRNA from 1 species
AGCAGCCGCGGUAAUUCCAGCUCCAAUAGCGUAUAUUAAAGUUGUUGCAGUUAAAAAGCUCGUAGUUGAAUUUCGGGGUUGACGUGAUAGUCAUGCCUUAAGGGGUAUGAACUGUUGCAGUUGAUUUCUCACCUUCUGGAGGAACUUGAUGUCCUUUAUUGGGUGUCUUGCGGAUCCAGGACCUUUACCUUGAAAAAUUAGAGUGUUUAAAGCAGGCAUUUUUGCUCGAAUACAUUAGCAUGGAAUAAUAGAAUAGGACGGCAUGGUUCUAUUUUGUUGGUUUCUAGGAUCACCGUAAUGAUUAAUAGGGAUAGUUGGGGGCAUUAGUAUUCAAUUGUCAGAGGUGAAAUUCUUGGAUUUAUUGAAGACUAACUACUGCGAAAGCAUUUGCCAAGGAUGUUUUCAUUA